rnacentral:rRNA from 1 species
CCAGAGAACUUAGCAGAGAUGCUUUGGUGCCUUCGGGAACUCUGAGACAGGUGCUGCAUGGCUGUCGUCAGCUCGUGUUGUGAAUGUUGGGUUAAGUCCCGCAACGAGCGCAACCCUUAUCCUUUGUUGCCAGCGGCUCGGCCGGGAACUCAAAGGAGACUGCCGGUGAUAAACCGGAGGAAGGUGGGGAUGACGUCAAGUCAUCAUGGCCCUUACGGCCAGGGCUACACACGUGCUACAAUGGCGCAUACAAAGAGAAGCGACCUCGCGAGAGCAAGCGGACCUCAUAAAGUGCGUCGUAGUCCGGAUUGGAGUCUGCAACUCGACUCCAUGAAGUCGGAAUCGCUAGUAAUCGUAGAUCAGAAUGCUACGGUGAAUACGUUCCCGGGCCUUGUACACACCGCCCGUCACACCAUGGGAGUGGGUUGCAAAAGAAGUAGGUAGCUUAACCUUCGGGAGGGCGCUUACCACUUUGUGAUUCAUGACUGGGGUGAAGUCGUAACAAGGUAAGCGUAGCGAG